UACGUAGGGGGCAAGCGUUAUCCGGAUUUACUGGGUGUAAAGGGAGCGUAGACGGCAGCACAAGUCUGGAGUGACAUCCCAUGGCUUAACCAUGGAACUGCUUUGGAAACUGUGCAGCUGGAGUGCAGGAGAGGUCAUCGGAAUUCCUUGUGUAGCGGUGAAAUGCGUAGAUAUAAGGAAGAACACCAGUGGCGAAGGCGGAUGACUGGACGGCAACUGACGCUGAGGCUCGAAAGCGUGGGGAGCAAACAGG
rnacentral:rRNA from 1 species